CUUCCUGCAGCUUUCAAUUCAGAGUUACAUUUUCAAUCAGCGACUCAAAUUCCUAUAAGGAGAGAGAGAGAGAAAGACGAUUGGAAAUUUACUGCUCUUUUUUCCAACCAUUUUACAAAUAAACAAAGCUUCCUAUUUGUUUUUCGCUCUUUCAGUGAGGACAAGAAGUAAAUCAUGGCAGAAGGUGGAAGUAGUGACAUAUGGAAGUAUAAAGUUAUUUUCAGUUCCAAGGCAGUACAAGGAUUCAAAGAGGUAAAAGAACUUCUGCAACAUUUACCGUCAAGUUUUGAGAUGUUUGUGACGUCAUAUGAACAGAGAAAGCUGGAUUCAUUGAGUAAAAAAGUGGGAUUCAGUGGAAUUGACAGAAGAGACCUGCGAGAAACUAUUGAUAAGUGGCAAGAGGAAUUCAGUAAAACAGUUGUCAUGUAGCCGCACAUAAAAAAGCUUUUCUUUUCGCUGCUCAGUGGUGUGAUCCAGAAAAUGAAGUCAAUAAGUACGGCAUCCCUGUGGCAUCUCCGUCAAAAUUAAAGGUUAUCCUCCAGAUAAUUGCAAACCAGAAGAAAUGGUUUUAUUCUGUAAAAUAUAUGGCUGGUGACACGGAGGUUAAAAUCUAUGGUCUCUUGUCAGCAAAUACAUUCAAGAAGUAUGUCCAGUCUGAAGAAGAGGAAGAGUUUAUAAAAGAGAUUACUGAUGUAUUAAAAGGCCGAAAAGAAGAGAACAACUUGAAGCAAGCAUUAAUGUGUCACUUACUUGCAGGUAAUCUAAGCAUUAAUGUGUCACUUACUUGCAGGUAAUCUAAGCAUUAAUGUGUCACUUACUUGCAGGUAAUCUAAGCACUAAUGUGUCACUUACUUGCAGGUAAUCUAAGCAUUAAUGUGUCACUUACUUGCAGGUAAUCUAAGCAUUAAUGUGUCACUUACUUGCAGGUAAUCUAAGCAUUAAUGUGUCACUUACUUGCAGGUAAUCUAAGCAUUAAUGUGUCACUUACUUGCAGCCAUCCAACACACCCCAGAAUUUCGUGAAGUGCAAGACUGGGCAAUAGCUCCAUCAUCAAAAGAAAGACUAAGUGAUGUUCUGCUAGAUUUAAGAGAACAUUUAAGAUAUCUUAUGUAUGGAAGACUGCCAAAAAAUAUGUCUCCAUCAGAGAACAUGUUUGUACGCACCCGUUGUGUUAAACCCUCGAAAUGUUUAUCAUCUGUAGAGAGAAUGAAAGAAAAUUGUAUACAGAGAGACUUUCAAUCUAUUUCUAUUAAUGGUUGUUACAAUAAAAAGCUCUCCAACCGCGUGAUUUGUGUCUUGGAUGACAUGACUACUUAUGGUAAUAUCUUUGAGGCAUUAAGAAAUAUUCUAAUAACAUGCAAACCAAAAAAGAUAAUUUUCUUAGCUAUAGGAAAAUUCAGAAGAAAUGGAGUUAAGUACAAAAUGUUAAAUUAUACGAUACAAGGUAACGUCUUUACACAAGAAUAUGAAGCAGUUUUUAAUUCUGCUGAAAUUGUAGAGGAAGAAUAUGAACGGAGUGCUCAACGCGAAGUUCGAGAAUUGGCUAGCCUUGCUUAUGAGCUAAGCCACUAGAACGCAAGACUCGGCAGUAGACAGAAGAUAAAAGCCCACAUUUAUAUCAAAACUAAACAUACCUUCUUUAAUUAGCAUAAUAAUAAAACGGUUUUAUAAAUAAUUAAACUAACUAACUGAUCACAACGUAGUAUUUACCUACACCAGUGGUUCUCAAUGUGUGGUCCAUGGGCUCUGUUCAGGUGAAAUACUUAUAGAAAGGAAGCAGGGCAUGGAGAUAAAUAAAAACCAGGUCCGAGAACCUACACCAUUUCAACGUAAUCUGAAUCACGUUGUUAUUUUUUACCCCAUGUUGUAUGGAUUAAGAUGUAUAUUUUAUAUACGUACACACACAGUUAAUGAAAUGGUGGUACGAAUUUGAGAUAUCAACUCACUGAAGGAUAAAUAAGAAAACUUUAACACCAGUCUUAUUACUUUCAAUCUUCUCAACUAAUUAAGAUGAAGUUUUCUCUAUCUCAUGAUUUAUAAUUCCCGAUAGUUAAAUUUGUAUAACAUUACUGUAUUGAGAACAACAGAACUGAGUAUUGAAUGUUUUGUUAUUGAUUUUUCACCUUGACUCGAAAAGAAAAAUCAUUUACGCACAAAAUAUCAUGGUGAGAUUAGGUGAAUUCUUGUAUUUGUUUUAUUUAUUUAGUGUUAUAUGAUUUAUUGUUAAUUUGUAACGUAGAUUUUAAAAGAAACAAAAAAUCAAGGGACCAAGUAGAGUUUUAUAUUUCGUUUUCCAGACUUAAUUUUUUGUUAACCAGAUUUGGAAGACAAUAUGAGUAUAACCAGCAAUGGCAUUCUUCUUUUCUGUGUAGUAGGAAUUAGCAGAAGGAUCUUUGUAUGAUUUUAUUAAUUUUUCACUUUGAAAAUGUAAUCACAAUAAUCUUGAUUACAUUUAUGAAAUAAAGUAUUCAACUUCAAACUUUA
rnacentral:misc_RNA from 1 species